rnacentral:rRNA from 1 species
UUUGAACGCUGGCGGCAGGCUUAACACAUGCAAGUCGAGCGGGGAAGGGUAGCUUGCUACCUAACCUAGCGGCGGACGGGUGAGUAAUGCUUAGGAAUCUGCCUAUUAGUGGGGGACAACAUUCCGAAAGGAAUGCUAAUACCGCAUACGCCCUACGGGGGAAAGCAGGGGAUCUUCGGACCUUGCGCUAAUAGAUGAGCCUAAGUCAGAUUAGCUAGUUGGUGGGGUAAAGGCCUACCAAGGCGACGAUCUGUAGCGGGUCUGAGAGGACGAGCCGCCACACUGGGACGGAGACACGGCCCAGAGUCCUACGGGAGGCAGCAGUGGGGAAUAUUGGACAAUGGGCGAAAGCCUGAUCCAGCCAUGCCGCGUGUGUGAAGAAGGCCUUUUGGUUGUAAAGCACUUUAAGCGAGGAGGAGGCUACUUGGAUUAAUACUCGGUUGUUCUGACGGUACCCAAAGAAUAAGCACCGGCUAACUUCGUGCCAGCCGCCGCCGUAACAC